GUGAAUCAUCAAAUUUUUGAACGCAAAUUGCACUCUCUUCGGAGAGUAUGCCUGUUUGAUGGUCAGCCUAAAAAAAAUCGACAUAGUUGCUGUUUCGCAUUGACAUUCGUCGGAAAUUGGGUCAUCUUAAACCUUUGUGUUUUAAGCGGCUUAAAAUUUUCUUUACGAUUCCACGAACGUUUCUAAAAUUCACUUCUUACGUUUAAGGUAUCGAUUUUUAUUAGACGUGUCCGCUGCAUCUGGUUACGUCCAUAAAUAUUUCGUUAACUGACCUCAUACAGUUAAGAACACCCGCUGAC
rnacentral:misc_RNA from 1 species